CACGUAGGGUGCGAGCGUUGUCCGGAAUUAUUGGGCGUAAAGAGCUCGUAGGCGGUGUGUCGCGUCGGCCGUGAAAACCUGCAGCUUAACUGUGGGCUUGCGGUCGAUACGGGCAUCACUGGAGUUCGGCAGGGGAGACUGGAAUUCCUGGUGUAGCGGUGAAAUGCGCAGAUAUCAGGAGGGAACACCGGUGGGCGGAAGGCGGGUCUCUGGGCCGAUAACUGAC
rnacentral:rRNA from 1 species